CGCCCCGGCGCCAACAAGAGCAUGCCGGAAAGUGUAGUUUUCCGUCCCGCCUUGGCGAAUCGAGCCGCGCGGCUAACAGUGGCAGGUCGAGCCAGGCGUCGCCGAGCCUUCGAACCGUCCAUUCUAGGCCAAGGCCGCUGCUAGCUAAAAGGAUUUCGCGUCCACGUGCGCUGUCUCGGGUCCCCAGAAGCGGUAUGCACUUGGGGCGGAUAGGCGGGCACUGAUCACAGACCGCUUGGGGUGUUCAGAUAUGUGACAGCCUCCGGGAGGUGCACCACCGAGGUGUGUGGGCUUGGCGGUUCUGUUCUGAAGGGCAGCUGUGAUUUGGGGACAUUUCUUUUUUUUUUUUUUUUUGGUACGAGGGAUCGAACUCGGGUCCUUACGCUUACACAGCAGGCGGCGAAACCACUGAGCUAAAUCCCCGGCCCCAGGGACUUUUCAUCUUUAGAAUCAGCCGUACUGAGUAUGAUCUUAUUGUAGUGGCCACCUAUCGGCAAUGAAAUGGAUUAAAACCCUUAAUGGCUGAACUGCAGUUAAAACCCUUAACAAAGGAAUUCCAGUUAAAGAACUUAGGCUGUCAGUAGGCAGUCAUAAAACAGCAACAGACCUUUUGAUAUAGGACCCAUUCAUUCCUCCCAGAGUCCCAACCCAUCUUCUUUAAAAGAUAGGUUCAGGGCCAGGGAUUUAGCUCAGUGGCACCGCGCCUGCCUUGCAAGCGAAAGGUCCUGAGUUUGAUGCCCAGUACAAAAAAAAAAAAAAAGAUAGGUAUAGCCGAGCUUGGUGGCACACACUUGUAAUCCUAGCGCUCAGGAGGCUGAGGCAGGAGGAUUGCCAAGAGUUGGAGGCCAGCCUGAACUAUAUAGUGAGACCCUGUCUCAAAAAACAAAACAAAACAGAAAAGAUAAGUAUAGACCUCCUCAUCAGCUUAUCUAAAGCAAAGGCAUAAGGAAACAGUCUUGUCAAAAUUACAACUGUGAACAACUCAAUAAUGUGCGUCAGUAAGCAUGCUCCCUGAAGAUUUGUAAGGUGCUAAAUGACCCAGGAGAAGGCAUUCUUUAGAUAAUCACACUUGCUGUCUAGACCCUUUUAAAAAAUAUAUAUAUAUUCUUGGGCCGGGGAUUUAGCUCAGUGGUUUCGCCGCCUCCUACGCAAGCGCAAGGACCCAAGUUCGAUCCCCGGUAGCAAAAAACAAAAUAAAACAAGAGAUGAACUGUGUAAUCAGGGUGAGAGAUUAGGGUUUGAGGAUAUAUUUUUACUUCUAUUUUUUUAAAUUUUUUUUUUGGUACCAGGGAUCUAACUUGGGACUUUGCGCUUGCGAGGCAGGUGACAUCACCACUGAGCUAAAUCCCCGGCCCCAGUUCAUCUCUUGAAAAAUUGAAACUCCUCCUCAUCUCCCUUGGUAGCAUGCCUUGAUCUAAAUAAACUUUCCUCUUUUCUACA